rnacentral:rRNA from 1 species
CUACGGUGCUCCAGUGGGGAAUAUUGGACAAUGGGGGAAACCCUGAUCCAGCAAUGCCGCGUGUGUGAAGAAGGCCUGCGGGUUGUAAAGCACUUUCGGUUGGGAGGACUGCUUCUAGCACUAAUAUUGUUGGAAGUUGACGUUACCUUCAGAAGAAGCACCGGCUAACUCCGUGCCAGCAGCCGCGGUAAUACGGAGGGUGCAAGCGUGAAUCGGAAUUACUGGGCGUAAAGCGCGCGUAGGCGGCUAGAUCAGUCGGGUGUGAAAGCCCCGGGCUUAACCUGGGAACUGCAUCCGAUACUGUCUAGCUUGAGUACAGGAGAGGAGAGUGGAAUUCCACAUGUAGCGGUGAGAUGCGUAGAUAUGUGGAGGAACACCAAUGGCGAAGGCAGCUCUCUGGCCUGAUACUGACGCUGAGGUGCGAAAGCGUGGGGAGCAAACAGGAUUAGAUACCCGCGUAGUC